rnacentral:tRNA from 1 species
GCCGGUAUAGCUCAGAUGGUAGAGCAACUGACUUGUAAUCAGUACGGUCCCGGGUUCGAUUCCUGGUGCCGGCACCA